rnacentral:rRNA from 1 species
GAUGAACGCUAGCGGCGGGCCUAAUACAUGCAAGUCGAACGGGAAAGGUGGCAACACCUUGAGAGUGGCGUACGGGUGCGUAACGCGUAUACAACCUGCCUGUUACACGGGGAUAGCCUUGCGAAAGCGAGAUUAAUACCCGAUGGUACUAUUGAGCGGCAUCGCUUGGUAGUUAAAGCUGAGGCGGUAACAGAGGGGUAUGCGUCCCAUUAGCUAGUUGGUAGUGUAACGGACUACCAAGGCGACGAUGGGUAGGGGUUCUGAGAGGAUGAUCCCCCACACUGGUACUGAGAUACGGACCAGACUCCUACGGGAGGCAGCAGUAGGGAAUAUUAGGCAAUGGACGGAAGUCUGACCCAGCCACGCCGCGUGCAGGAAGAAGGUCCUCUGGAUUGUAAACUGCUUUUCUUGGGGAAGAAAACCCUUCUGCGGAAGGAAUUGACGGUACUCAAGGAAUAAGCAUCGGCUAACUCCGUG